ACGGAAGCUUUGUCUUUUGAGGGGAAUGUUGUCUGGCUCGAGGACCCUUCUUCAUCUUGAUCUUGUGUAGACUACUAUGCUUGUGGUCAAGGAAUACAUAGUGUUGUCGGACCAGGCUUCAUUCCCCCCAAUUAUAUGCUUCCAAA
rnacentral:pre_miRNA from 1 species